AUGGAGGCGCAGAUGAGCAAGUUCUUCGAGUCGGUGGGCUCCUUCUUCUCCGGCGGCGACAACAUCCCCUGGUGCGACCGCGACAUCAUCGCCGGAUGUGAAAGAGAGGUUGCUGAGGCUGCAACCGAAGAACAGAAAAAUGAUAGCAUUAUGAGGCUAUCUUGGGCUCUCGUCCAUUCCAAGCAGACUGAUGAUGUGAACCGUGGAAUUGGCAUGAUUGAAGCUUCUCUUGAUAAAACCACCAGCCCACUGCAGACUAGAGAAAAACUGUAUUUGCUGGCUGUUGGGCACUACAGAAAUGGUAACUAUGUAAGGAGCCGGCAACUUGCGGACCGUUGUUUGGAGAUUCAACCAGAUUGGAGGCAGGCAUCAUCUCUGAAGAAGGCAAUAGAGGAUAAAAUUGCUAAAGAUGGUGUGAUCGGCAUAGGAAUCGCCACAACUGCGGUAGGACUUAUCGUUGGUGGGAUCGCAGCUGCUCUUGCAAGGAAGAAGUGA
rnacentral:rRNA from 1 species